AGAGUUUGAUCCUGGCUCAGGAUGAACGCUAGCGACAGGCCUAACACAUGCAAGUCGAGGGGCAUCGGGGCGAGGAGCAAUCCUUGCCGCCGGCGACCGGCGCACGGGUGAGUAACGCGUAUGCGACCUGCCCGUUGCAGGGGGAUAAUCGGGAGAAAUCCCGUCUAAUACCGCGUAACGCCGCGGGGCUGCAUGGCCCUGCGGCCAAAGGGAGCGAUUCCGGCAACGGAUGGGCAUGCGUGACAUUAGCUAGUUGGCGGGGCAACGGCCCACCAAGGCGACGAUGUCUAGGGGUUCUGAGAGGAAGGUCCCCCACACUGGUACUGAGACACGGACCAGACUCCUACGGGAGGCAGCAGUGAGGAAUAUUGGUCAAUGGGCGCGAGCCUGAACCAGCCAAGUCGCGUGAGGGAUGACGGCCCUACGGGUUGUAAACCUCUUUUGUCGGGGAGCAAAUUCCGUUACGUGUAACGGAGUCGAGAGUACCCGAAGAAAAAGCAUCGGCUAACUCCGUGCCAGCAGCCGCGGUAAUACGGAGGAUGCGAGCGUUAUCCGGAUUUAUUGGGUUUAAAGGGUGCGUAGGCGGACUGUCAAGUCAGCGGUAAAAUACGGGGGCUCAACCUCCGCCCGCCGUUGAAACUGACGGUCUUGAGUGGGCGAGAAGUAUGCGGAAUGCGUGGUGUAGCGGUGAAAUGCAUAGAUAUCACGCAGAACUCCGAUUGCGAAGGCAGCAUACCGGCGCCCAACUGACGCUGAAGCACGAAAGCGUGGGUAUCGAACAGGAUUAGAUACCCUGGUAGUCCACGCAGUAAACGAUGAAUACUAGCUGUCCGGGGCGAAUGAGCCCUGGGUGGCACAGCGAAAGCGUUAAGUAUUCCACCUGGGGAGUACGCCGGCAACGGUGAAACUCAAAGGAAUUGACGGGGGCCCGCACAAGCGGAGGAACAUGUGGUUUAAUUCGAUGAUACGCGAGGAACCUUACCCGGGCUCAAACGACACAGGAACGUACCUGAAAGGGUUCGGCUCUACGGAGCCUGUGUCGAGGUGCUGCAUGGUUGUCGUCAGCUCGUGCCGUGAGGUGUCGGCUUAAGUGCCAUAACGAGCGCAACCCCCAUCGACAGUUGCUAACAGGUCAGGCUGAGGACUCUGUCGAGACUGCCGGCGCAAGCUGCGAGGAAGGCGGGGAUGACGUCAAAUCAGCACGGCCCUUACGUCCGGGGCGACACACGUGUUACAAUGGCAGGUACAGCGGGAAGCCACCUGGCGACAGGGAGCGGAACCCGAAAGCCUGUCUCAGUUCGGAUUGGAGUCUGCAACCCGACUCCAUGAAGCUGGAUUCGCUAGUAAUCGCGCAUCAGCCACGGCGCGGUGAAUACGUUCCCGGGCCUUGUACACACCGCCCGUCAAGCCAUGGAAGCCGGGGGUGCCUGAAGUGCGCUGCCGCGAGGAGCGCCCUAGGGUAAAACCGGUGACUGGGGCUAAGUCGUAACAAGGUAACC
rnacentral:rRNA from 1 species